AGUGAACGCUGGCGGUAGGCCUAACACAUGCAAGUCGAACGGCAGCACAGUAAGAGCUUGCGCUUACGGGUGGCGAGUGGCGGACGGGUGAGGAAUACAUCGGAAUCUACUUUUUCGUGGGGGAUAACGUAGGGAAACUUACGCUAAUACCGCAUACGACCUACGGGUGAAAGCAGGGGAUCUUCGGACCUUGCGCGAUUCAAUGAGCCGAUGCCGGAUUAGCUAGUUGGCGGGGUAAAGGCCCACCAAGGCGACGAACCGUAGCUGGUCUGAGAGGAUGAUCAGCCACACUGGAACUGAGACACGGUCCAGACUCCUACGGGAGGCAGCAGUGGGGAAUAUUCGACAAUGGGCGCAAGCCUGACCCAGCCAUACCGCGUGGGUGAAGAAGGCCUUCGGGUUGUAAAGCCCUUUUGUUGGGAAAGAAAAGCAGCAGGUUAAUACCCCGCUGUUCUGACGGUACCCAAAGAAUAAGCACCGGCUAACUUCGUG
rnacentral:rRNA from 1 species